rnacentral:rRNA from 2 species
GUGCCUAACACAUGCAAGUCGAACGAGAAAGAGGGAGCAAUCCCUUGAGUAAAGUGGCGACCGGGUGAGUAACACGUGACUAACCUACCCUUGAGUGGGGGAUAACCUCGGGAAACCGGGGCUAAUACCGCAUAACAUCUUCGGGAUGAAAAGCCGGAGAUCAAAGGAGCAAUUCGCUUAAGGAGGGGGUCGCGGCUGAUUAGCUAGUUGGCGGGGUAACGGCCCACCAAGGCUUUGAUCGGUAGCCGGCCUGAGAGGGCGCACGGCCACACUGGAACUGAAACACGGUCCAG